GUGUUUUUAUUUUUGUGAGGGGCAAUUGGGGGUUUAAUGUUUUGUUCUCUCUCCCAACUUUAUUCCAAUUGUCGGUUGUUUCUCUCCCUUCUGUCUUCACUCGCGAACGCGCUUUUCUCCGAUCUCUUUCAAUCGUUAAGCUCUGGGUUCGGUAUUGCGGCUCUCCUUCAUCGUAGACGGUAGUGGUUGGCGACCACGGUCGAGGUGAGCAGCGAGGACCACAGGGACAUGGUGUCGCAUGAUAUUUGGCCCAAUUGGUGAAGCAAGGUCAGGACGGUGAUUUCAAUGGAGAGGUGUGUAGAGAGAUGUUUGAGGCCAUAAAGUUGCUUGUUGGCAUAAAACAACGGCCUUCUAAUUACGUUCCUGAUGGUGAAGUUCCGGCUAAGACCACUUUUUGCCAACGCGAGGAUGCUUUCUAGAGUAAUCCUGACAAUUUGCGUGCUAUCGAUGAAAUUGAGCGGGCCAUUUUGCAACGAUUUGACUUCAAGGAUAUGCCGAUUUACCGCACCUUUUAAAUAAUUCCAAUGGGUGUUUGUGUGCGCUGCCGCCCAAAAUCGUGUGCACACUAGUGUUAAAUCUAUUGGUUCAUGCCUGCAUGCAACAUUGUCAACCAGGAUUGGUAGCCUUUUAUGUAUUCAAUUAUAAAUCCUUUUACUUAAAAAAAAAACCAAUUUUACAGUCGAAAUGGAAAUCACUCCAUGUAUUUUCAAACCAGUGUAUUCAAAAUGAAACAUUAUGGCACCCAC